UACGGGGGGGGCAAGCGUUGUUCGGAAUUACUGGGCGUAAAGGGCGCGUAGGCGGCCCGCUAAGUCGAACGUGAAAUCCCCGAGCUCAACUCGGGAACUGCGUCCGAUACUGGCGGGCUUGAAUCCGGGAGAGGGAUGCGGAAUUCCAGGUGUAGCGGUGAAAUGCGUAGAUAUCUGGAGGAAUACCGGUGGCGAAGGCGGCAUCCUGGACCGGCAUUGACGCUGAGGAGCGAAAGCCAGGGGAGCAAACGGG
rnacentral:rRNA from 1 species